AUUGAACGCUGGCGGAAUGCUUUACACAUGCAAGUCGAGCGGCAGCGCGGGGGCAACCCUGGCGGCGAGCGGCGAACGGGUGAGUAACGCAUCGGAACGUACCUUGUAGUGGGGGGAUAACUAUCCGAAAGGAUAGCUAAUACCGCAUACGCCCUGAGGGGGAAAGGGGGGGAGUCGCAAGACCUCUCGCUACAGGAGCGGCCGAUGUCCGAUUAGCUAGUUGGUGAGGUAAAGGCUCACCAAGGCGACGAUCGGUAGCUGGUCUGAGAGGAUGAUCAGCCACACUGGGACUGAGACACGGCCCAGACUCCUACGGGAGGCAGCAGUGGGGAAUUUUGGACAAUGGGGGCAACCCUGAUCCAGCCAUGCCGCGUGAGUGAAGAAGGCC
rnacentral:rRNA from 1 species